rnacentral:rRNA from 1 species
GACGAACGCUGGCGGCGUGCUUAACACAUGCAAGUCGAACGGAAAGGCCCUGCUUUUGUGGGGUGCUCGAGUGGCGAACGGGUGAGUAACACGUGGGGAACCUGCCCUUGACUUUGGGAUAACUUCAGGAAACUGGGGCUAAUACCGGAUAGGAGCUCCUGCUGCAUGGUGGGGGUUGGAAAGUUUCGGCGGUUGGGGAUGGACUCGCGGCUUAUCAGCUUGUUGGUGGGGUAGUGGCAUACCAAGGCUUUGACGGGUAGCCGGCCUGAGAGGGUGACCGGCCACCUUGGGACUGCGAUACGGCCCAGACUCCUACGGGAGGCAGCAGUGGGGAAUAUUGCACAAUGGGCGGAAGCCUGAUGCAGCAACGCCGCGUGCGGGAUGACGGCCUUCGGGUUGUAAACCGCUUUCGCCUGUGACGAAGCGUGAGUGACGGUAAUGGGUAAAGAAGCACCGGCUAACUACGUG